AUUGGUCAACGUAAAUGAGGUGUA
rnacentral:siRNA from 1 species